CUAUAUUAAUAAAUUUAUUUUAUAAAUUUAAGUCAAAAAUAAAUGUAAAAUAUUUUCAAUAUUAGUGUAGAAAUCAUAUUUAAACAUUGAACGCUUGGAUUUUUUUUUUUUUUGGGGGGGGGGUGGGGGUCGGUGGUGUUGUGAAAUCUAUAGAGAGAGAAAAUCGAAAAUACCAACGGCUAAAACAACCAACAAACACACACCGUGGCCCGACCCUCAUCCCAUUAUUUCAUUCAUUUUUCGUUCAUCUUUCUGACUUUAUCUCCAUCAGCCCAAAAAUCAUCCUCUUAUAAAAAACAACAUCAGACAACCUCAAACAUCAAUUUUGUCUAAUCAAUGCCCAAAUUGUUUGCAACGCUGCAGCCAACAGCCACUCUCUGUGUUUCUCCUUCAUUUCUCCAUCUUUCUUCCCACUUUCUUCUAACUCUACUUCAAACAAACCCUAUUUAGGCUACUGCCCUUCCCCUACCCCCAUCUGGCUCACCAUUUUCACUUACCCCUCCAAACUCAACUACCCAAUUCGCAGACUCAUUACACCCUCCGCGGUUUCCAUCGAGAAAGAAACUAUAAUCUCCGAGCGGCCCCACACUCUCCUACGUGAGACUGAUGGCGAAGAUGACGGCUGCGUCAGGUUUUGCAUCCAAAAAAUCCAUUUGCUUCAACAUUGCAUUUUAAAUAUAGGUAUUUUGAAACUGAUGCUCCUAAAGGUACUUAAUUUAUCGUUAAUUAUUGUUAAGUUGUUGAACCGUGCAUGCUAAAAUGGAAAUUUUAAAGGAAAUGUUAAAUCCUGAUAUGUCAACAAAGUGAUAGGAAGGAUUUAUGUGAUAGGUUUUCCAAGUUUUCUCUCUUUUGUAGAAUUUCUUACUCCUGAAAAUAAACAAAAUGAUAGUAUUCAAUUAUAACUUGGCAGUUUAUGGUGUUAUAUGAUUCCUAGGAUUAGCUUCCAUUAGCUAGACACGAGUCAACAUCUGUGUAAUAAUCAAGCAAAAAUAAUGUAUUUCUUCUCAUUGGCAAUUCAGUAGCAAUGAAUAUUAUGCUUUACGGUUUGCUUUGGUACUUGUUCUUCAUUAAAAGAGAGAGAGAGAGAGAGAGAGAGAGAAUUUCUUGAUGAAAAAUUUUCAAUUUGCAUUACUUUUCCUCUGUUGCAUUCUGGAUACUUUGUGAUUAUGCAUUGCAUUAGGUUUUUUUGUUGCUUCAAAGGUAAGAAAAGCAUUAUAAGUUUAGUUGGUGACUCAUCUUGAAAGCGUGGAGAUGCUCCUGGAGCCCCUAGGCAAUGGUGGUUUGGUGGUGGAACUGAUUUAACUCCAGCUGACAUCUUGGAGGAGGAUAUGUCAAGCUCUCCCAUUCCAUACAAAAAGGCUUGUGACAAAUUUGAUCCAUCCUUUUAUCCUCGAUUCGAAAAAUGCAUUGAUGUGAAAGACGAGGGCUUGGGGGAAUAUUUUUUGAUGAUCUAAAUGACUAUGAUCAGGAGAUGCUUCUUUUAUUGCCACCGAAUGUGCGAACUCUGUGGUUCCUGCAUGCAUGCCCAUUGUAGUGAAAAGGAAGGAUACACCAUUUAAUGAGAGCCACAUGGCAUGGUCGAUGAUCAAGGUACAACAUUUGGAAUGAAGACGGGGACGAAUUGAAAGUAAUCUUGUUUCUCUCCCUUUAAUUGCAGGAUGGGAACAUGAUCAUAAACCAUAAGAGGAAGUUAAGAGUGGAAAUUACUAGAUACAUGCAUCAACCCUCAGGAAUGGAUCUCAUGUAUCUGAUCCUUAUGCAUGAACCCCAAGGGAUGGAUCUGAGACAUACCAGUUGAGUUUCCCAUUGUUUUUUUCCCGCGGCAGAAGUUAUAACUUAGCUUUAUGGUUUUGUCGUAUUAAGGUGAUAGGCUACUCUCUGUAAAUCAUGUGAAUGUGGUUUGAUACUUAUUCCUGUAAUAUACAAGCCAACAGUGGCUAAUAAUAUUAUGAAUCUGUAUUUACGUUAA